CCCCUCUCAGAGUCGCACCCGGAGAGUUUCCAGUACUCUACCAGUCACAACUUCAGGAGGGAGAGUCAAGCAGUGGCCUACCCGUUCCGUUCCUAGCUCGGCCAGUGGCUAGUGAGUGGAAGGCAAUCUGCUACAAGU